UGUUUUAGUCUAAAUAUACCACUCUGAAUGCGCCCCAUCUUGCCUGAUCUCGGAAGCUAAGCAGGGUCGGGCCUGGUUAGAACUUGGAUGGGAGUUUACCGAACAAUGAAAUAU
rnacentral:rRNA from 1 species